AGGCUUUGGAAGAGGAGGUUGUUGUGUUAGUAUUGCCAUGGGUAGUGUUAUGAGCCUGGUGAUAGUGUGACAAGGCUUUGGAAGAGGAGGUUGUUGUGUUAGUAUUGCCAUGGGUAGUGUUAUGAGCCGAGUGAUAGUGUGACAAGGCUUUGGUAGAGGAGGUUGUUGUGUUAGUAUUGCCAUGGGUAGUGUUAUGAGCCUGGUGAUAGUGUGACAAGGCUUUGGUGGAGGAGGUUGUUGUGUUAGUAUUGCCAUGGGUAGUGUUAUGAGCCUAGUGAUAGUGUGACAAGGCUUUGGUAGAGGAGGUUGUUGUGUUAGUAUUGCCAUGGGUAGUGUUAUGAGCCUGGUGAUAGUGUGACAAGGCUUUGGUAGAGGAGGUUGUUGUGUUAGUAUUGCCAUGGGUAGUGUUAUGAGCCUGGUGAUAGUGUGACAAGGCUUUGGUGGAGGAGGUUGUUGUGUUAGUAUUGCCAUGGGUAGUGUUAUGAGCCUGGUGAUAGUGUGACAAGGCUUUGGUAGAGGAGGUUGUUGUGUUAGUAUUGCCAUGGGUAGUGUUAUGAGCCUGGUGAUUGUGUGACAAGGCUUUGGUAGAGGAGGUUGUUGUGUUAGUAUUGCCAUGGGUAGUGUUAUGAGCCUGGUGAUAGUGUGACAAGGCUUUGGUGGAGGAGGUUGUUGUGUUAGUAUUGCCAUGGGUAGUGUUAUGAGUCUGGUGAUAGUGUGACAAGGCUUUGG